UUUUGCUUAAAGAUCACCAUAAUUGAUACUUGGUGAAUCUUUAUCAUCCCCUUUAUGUUCAAUCAAAAACAGGGAAGAAGUCAAAUGUGUACAGCACACUUUCUGGUCGUUUCUUAGUAACCAGAAGUGAGGCGUCUGGAUUUAAGCACUGCUGAGCCCCCGCCAGGCUGAACACAGCGAUCCCAGACUCAUUGGUUUAUGAGAAAAGAUGUAACAGAGAGGUCAGAUUAUCCUGACACACUUCAGUAUUUCACAAGUUGUGCCGGGGUGGCAUUCCAGUUCAUGUAAAUGUUGCCGUCAUUUUCAAGCAGCGCUAAAACAAAUGUGAGCAGCUUAGUCCGUACAUGACAAAGCAACUCCUGUGUUUGGUCUGUCGCCAUGGUAAACCCUCUGCCCUUCUUCUCCACUUGUUAAUGUUACACCAAGGACAUAUUUACGAAGCUUUUCCUGCGCAUUUGAAGGAGAGCACCAAGACACACUCUCAGUAAUGAGCUUUGAUCGCAGAUGCAGAUAGGGGCCUGCUCAGAGCGUGCACGCACGGCCCAGAUUUGGGGAAUUGAUAGAGUCCAUUGUUUCCUGGGAGCUUGCCACUUUUUGCCUUCUAAUGUGAUUAUGGCCAGAGUUCUGCUGCUUUCCAGCCACCCACAACCCGAUCUGUGGUGUCUGACAGCAGUCCUUCUGUCCAGCUGGUCUUCAUUUCUGAUAUUAGUUUAAAGGAACCCAUGUAUGUGACUUUUGUCAGCAAAGCCGUGCUGUGGGACAGAGAGCUCCACCACACCUCUGUCCGGGAUGGCUCUCUUAGGCGUCCCUCUGUGUGUCCACGGUUCCUGUCCCACAUGAAGGUUCCUGCUGGAGAAGACCUUCACGCUUUGCGUUUUCUGAACUCCAUGUCCAUGCAGCAGCUUCCAUCCGAGGAGGAGAUGUUUCACCUCGCGUCCACAAAGACCCGAAGUCCUGAAGGUGAGCCGUUCUGAGCAGUCUUCUUCUCUCUGGGUCCCAGUUUGGUUGAACAUUCAUGUGGUG
rnacentral:lncRNA from 1 species